UCCCUGGUGGUCCAGAGGCUAAGACUCUGCACUUGCAGUGCAGGGGGCCCGAGUUCAAUCCCUGGCCAGGGAA
rnacentral:tRNA from 2 species